GACAGAGGGUGCAAACGUUGUUCGGAAUUACUGGGCGUAAAGCGCGUGUAGGCGGCUUGGCAAGUCGGGUGUGAAAGCCCUGGGCUUAACCUAGGAAGUGCACACGAAACUGCCGAGCUUGAGUUCUGGAGAGGAAGGCGGAAUUCUCGGUGUAGAGGUGAAAUUCGUAGAUAUCGAGAGGAACACCGGUGGCGAGGGCGGCCUUCUGGACAGCGACUGACGCUGAGACGCGAAAGCGUGGGGAGCAAACAGG
rnacentral:rRNA from 1 species